rnacentral:rRNA from 1 species
GGACGAAAGUCUGACGGAGCAACGCCGCGUGAGUGAAGAAGGUUUUCGGAUCGUAAAACUCUGUCGUUUGGGACGAACGUGCUUUGGGUAAAUAAUCUAAAGUAAUGACGGUACCAAAGGAGGAAGCCACGGCUAACUACGUGCCAGCAGCCGCGGUAAUACGUAGGUGGCAAGCGUUGUCCGGAAUUAUUGGGCGUAAAGGGCGUGUAGGUAGAUUCUUAAGUCGUGUGUCUAAGUGCGGGGCUCAACCCCGUAUGGGCACAGGAAACUGGGGAUCUUGAGUGCAAGAGAGGAAAGUGGAAUUCCCAGUGUAGCGGUGAAAUGCGUAGAUAUUGGGAGGAACACCAGUGGCGAAGGCGACUUUCUGGACUGUGUCUGACACUGAGGCGCGAAAGCUAGGGGAGCGAACGGGAUUAGAUACCCCGGUAGUCCUAGCCGUAAACGAUGGGUACUAGGUGUAGGAGGUAUCGACCCCUCCUGUGCCGGAGUUAACGCAAUAAGUACCCCGCCUGGGGAGUACGGCCACAAGGUUGAAACU